rnacentral:lncRNA from 1 species
UCUUGGAAGGAUAUGGACUUCCUUCUCACGCACAAGACUUCUCACACCCCAAAAUUUUUCUCCAAAAAUUUUCUUCUUGCAUGCCCCACUCUUCUCCUCCUUUUAUAAUAACGUCAAAUGUCUUAUCCAAAAGAAAGGAUAAAGAUGAGUAAUUGCACAUUUGAAUUCAAAUCAAAUUUUAAAUUCAAAUGGACACCAACUCAUCCCUUAUCCACUAAAGGUGUGAGGUGUAGCUUAAAUUGUGCAUGGAGUGAUUUCAUGAGAAAUCUUUUCUCAUAUAAUAAAUGAGGCAUAAAAAAAGGGAUAAGGUGCAAAGAUUGAUUGCCCAUUCAAAUUCAAACUUUAUUUUGAAUUUGAAUAGCCAACCAAUCAUCCUUAUCCAUCCAUUUGGCACAUUAAAGUGGGGCGUGGAGAGGGCUUGGCGUGAGAAAAAAAUUCAUGAGAAGUUCCUUCUCAUGAAUCCAAAUGGGUGCAAUGGAAGUGAGGUGGCGCAUGG